GACGAACGCUGGCGGCGUGCCUAAUACAUGCAAGUAGAACGCUGAAGGAGGAGCUUGCUUCUCUGAAUGAGUUGCGAACGGGUGAGUAACGCGUAGGUAACCUGCCUGGUAGCGGGGGAUAACUAUUGGAAACGAUAGCUAAUACCGCAUAAGAGUAGAUGUUGCAUGACAUUUGCUUAAAAGGUGCAAUUGCAUCACUACCAGAUGGACCUGCGUUGUAUUAGCUAGUUGGUGGGGUAACGGCUUACCAAGGCGACGAUACAUAGCCGACCUGCGAGGGGGAGCGGCCACACUGGGACUGAGACAAGGCCCAGACUCCUACGGGAGGCAGCAGGAGGGAAUCUUCGGCAAGGGACGGAAGUCUGACCGAGCAACGCCGCGGGAGUGAAGAAGGGUUUCGGAUCGUAAAGCUCUGUUGUAAGAGAAGAACGAGUGUGAGAGUGGAAAGUUCACACUGUGACGGUAUCUGACCAGAAAGGGACGGCUAACUACGUG
rnacentral:rRNA from 1 species